UACAGAGGGGGCAAGCGUUAUUCGGAAUUAUUGGGCGUAAAGGGCGCGUAGGCGGCUUGGCAAGUGGAUGGUGAAAUCCCUCGGCUUAACCGGGGAACUGCAUCCGAUACUGGAUGGCUUGAGUUCGGGAGAGGGAUGCGGAAUUCCAGGUGUAGCGGUGAAAUGCGUAGAUAUCAGGAGGAACACCGGUGGCGAAGGCGGGUCUCUGGGCAGUAACUGACGCUGAGGAGCGAAAGCGUGGGUAGCAAACAGG
rnacentral:rRNA from 1 species